rnacentral:misc_RNA from 1 species
CCGAAAACACGCUGGUGGCUAAACAGCCUAAAUGAAGCAAAGCCGAAGAGAGGUCCGUCAGUAGACGAAAUCGGUCAAUACCACGCACGCUCAAGGUUCGCCGAAGACAAGCCGUCGGUAUCAACCGAAUCGUUCACUACUGCGCACGCUCGAGGUUCGAACCCCGUGAAAGAAAUCUGCGUUAUUAUUAUGCGAAGUCGGGCGAGGGGCGCCUCGCGAGCGUCGCGCCGUGUCAAAAGCGGCGGCGCUCCAAUCAAAGCGUACCCCACUUUCAACCCCACUGAACUCUGAAUCUGAACUGAAAAGGGGGGUGGUAAGUCGCCCUCACCGGCGCGCGCCCCCCUCAACCUUUAACGUU